rnacentral:rRNA from 1 species
ANCAGCCGUGUCUCCGAACCCUCUGCUUAAAGUUUGAUCAUGGCUCACAUUGGGACNUUAGGCGGCAGGCUUAACACAUGCAAGUCGAGCGGGGAAGGUUGCUUCGGUAACUGACCUAGCGGCGGACGGGUGAGUAAUGCUUAGGAAUCUGCCAUUUAGUGGGGGACAACAUUCCGAAAGGAAUGCUAAUACCGCAUACGUCCUACGGGAGAAAGCAGGGGAUCUUCGGACCUUGCGCUAAAUGAUGAGCCUAAGUCGGAUUAGCUAGUUGGUGGGGUAAAGGCCUACCAAGGCGACGAUCUGUAGCGGGUCUGAGAGGAUGAUCCGCCACACUGGGACUGAGACACGGCCCAGACUCCUACGGGAGGCAGCAGUGGGGAAUAUUGGACAAUGGGCGGAAGCCUGAUCCGGCCAUGCCGCGUGUGUGAAGAAGGCCUUAUGGUUGUAAAGCACUUUAAGCGAGGAGGAGGCUACCAGUAUUAAUACUACUGGAUAGUGGACGUUACUCGCAGAAUAAGCACCGGCUAACUCUGUGCCAGCAGCCGCGGUAAUACAGAGGGUGCGAGCGUUAAUCGGAUUUACUGGGCGUAAAGCGUGCGUAGGCGGCUUUUUAAGUCGCGAUGUGAAAUCCCCGAGCUUUAAACUUGGGGAAUUUGCGUUCCGAUACCUGGGGAAAGCCUAGAGUAUGGGAGAGGAUGGGUUACGGAACUUCCCAGGGUGUAGCGGUGAAAUUGCGUAGAGAUCUGGAGG